UGGAGGCAUAUUUCUUUCACAAGAAAAAUAUGCAAACAAACUUGUAGACAAGUUUGGGAUGCGAGACAGCAAGAGUGUAAGCAAUCCACUUACACCACAAGGGAAAGGAGGAAAAGUUGAAGAUGACAAGGAGUAUGGAGAUCCGACUAAGUAUAGAAGCAUUGUUGGAGGGCUUUUGUACUUGUGUGCAUCAAGACCGGAUGUGAUGUAUGCAAGCGCCUAUCUCUCAAGAUACAUGUCAUCACCUCGCAUGAAGCACUACCAAGAAGCCAAAAGGGUGUUAAGGUAUGUCAAAGGAACUUCAGACUUUGGAGUGUACUUUACAAGUGUGGAAGAACCAAGACUUGUAGGCUACUCGGACAGCGAUUGGGGUGGUUCUAAGGAAGACAAGAAAAGCACUUCAGGUUAUGUGUUUACUCUUGGUUCAGCCAUGUUUUGUUGGCAGUCAAGCAAGCAACAAACAGUGGCACAAUCAACGGCUGAGGCGGAGUACAUAGCCGUGUGUGCAGCAGCAAAUCAAGCCGUGUGGUUACAAAGGCUAUUUGAAGACUUUGGUCAGAAAUUUGAAGGAGGUAUUCCGAUCCUAUGUGACAACAAAUCAGCAAUAGCAAUUGGGAAGAAUCCAGUGCAACACAGAAGGACGAAGCACAUAGAGAUCAAGUAUCAUUUCGUGAGGGAAGUUGAGCAGAAAGGAAUCAUUGAACUCGAGUAUUGCAAAGGGGAUGAUCAACUCGCAGACAUUCUCACAAAGGCAUUAGGCGGUUCAAGGUUUGAAGAUCUCAGGAAGCAGCUUGGAGUCAAGUCGAGAUAUGAUUAAGGAGGAGUGUUAAACUAUAUAAUCUAAUCUCUCCUUAAUACAUUUACAUAAGUUAGUUAUUUGUUAGUUAUUACACAAAGAGUUGUAACUCUUCAUGAAGAGGUGUGUCUCUUCAAGGUAUUGAUUCGAUCUCUAUAUAAAGAUCAAUCAAUUGUUGUAAACAUCAUCACAGAAUCUCAAUAAAGACAAAGUAUUUCCAGACAAGUAUACAAAAUUCGUAACUUGUUGAAUAAGCCUAAAGCGUCUAUCUUAGUUCUUAUUCCGAACUCGUGUGUAACACACUGUGAUCUUUGUGUAACAUAAGCGGUUGGUAAAAGAUUAACAUCCAACACAAAAGGGUUUGUUUCCACAAUCAACGGUAGAGAUCAAAAGAUAGUGAUAAAAUUUCAACAAUCUCCACUACUUUAAUAUCUAUAUCUUCUUCCCACGAUAAACCCUGAUCUUUGAAGAAAGAUCACAUAUGGUGGUUAUUUAAAUCAGACAAAGCUUUGCUUGAAGAAACAGGGCAGAAACAGAACACGUCUUCUUCUUUUUUUUUAAAUGGCGAGAAUACAACUCUUUAAACUUCGAACGUUCUUGGUUUUAGUUGUUCUGUCUCUUGUGAUCGUAUUUAAGCCUCUCCUAGUUACUCCAAGUCUGAACUGAGAAACUGAUGGACUAUGAAAUCAAGGGACAAGAAUUAAAUGAGAUUAGCCACCUGAGACGAGUUGAAAUAGAUCCUAAGAGAAGAACAAGGGCACGGAGGUUGAUGAAUGUUGAUGAGAUUAACGAUUAUCCAG